AAAUAGACUGAUACUGGUAAAAAAAAAUUCGAAUGCGUUAAACGGGUCGUAUCGGACAGCCAGGCCUGCAGAUGGUGUCGUAGUUCGGGAAUUUAAUUUAGAUCUCCAGGACGCGGCUUGUGAGCUGCAGCUGAGCUGAGGAAUUACAAGAAGAAAUGGAGUUUUUAGGGAUUGACUUCAGCUGCGCACUCGGAUCUCUCCGCCACGGUAGCUUUCCUGACAAGGACUGUUUGCUUCCUCUCAUCUCCAAACUCCUUGGCUAUUGUAUCGUCGCCGCCUCCACCACCGUCAAAGUCCCUCAGAUAUUGAAAAUUUUGAAGCAUAGAAGUGUCAGAGGUCUUAGCAUUGUCGCCUUUGAGCUAGAAACCAUAGGUUAUACAAUAGCUCUCGCAUAUUGUCUCCACAAAGGCCUUCCCUUCUCGGCCUAUGGGGAAUUGGCGUUCCUAUUGAUCCAAGCUAUAGUUUUAGUUGCCACUAUCUACUACUUCUCACAACCUGUGCCUAUUGUGACAUGGAUAAGGCCAUUACUAUAUUGUGCUGUAGCACCAACUAUUUUGGCAGGUCAAAUUGAUCCUUUUCUCUUUGAAGCUCUCUAUGCAUCCCAGCAUGCAAUCUUUCUCUUUGCUAGGAUUCCACAGAUAUGGAAAAACUUUUCUAGCAAAAGCACUGGGGAGCUCAGCUUCUUAACCUGUUUUAUGAAUUUUGCUGGUUCUAUCGUGAGAGUUUUUACUAGCAUGCAAGAAAAAGCACCAAAUAGUGUUGUCUUGGGCUCCACCCUUGGUGUCAUCACUAAUGGUACCAUUCUCAGUCAGAUUCUCUUGUACCAAAAGCAUGAAGCCAAAAAAGAGAAGAAAGAUAAGUGAAAGGAUACCAGGUCUUUAGCUAGCUUUGCUUCAAUUAAUGGUUCAACAAUGACUGCAAGUUGGCUAGUAUUUCAGCUUUCAAGACUCUGAAUGUUUCAGCAUUUAAAAUCGAGGAAUUAACGUUUAUAUUGGUGUUUGUAUGGGGGGCCAGGCCAGCUUGCUCCACUCAUGGAUGCAUAAGCAAGAGAUAAACAUUGCAUUACAAGGCUGAUUGAAUAUCAACAUCUAAACACUUUAGAAAAGAGAUUGGUUGACAGGCUAACCAGUUACAUGAAAGAGAGCCAGAAAGACACAGCUUAGCAAUAUUGUUUGCUGCAUGAUUUGCUACUCUACUAACAAAAACAAAAUCUAUAAAGACAAAGUCUUGACUUAAUAAAAGGAUAGCACAGUCAGUGGCCUUGAUAUUC